GGCAAGGUGGCCGAGUGGUUAAGGCGUUUGAUUCGAAUUGGGUGUUGUAAAGGCCGAUGCCGGUCUGGUCAUCAUCCCCGAAUAUCAAAUUCAUUCGUGAGCCGGGGUUCAAAUCCCCGCCUUGUCG
rfam:Neosartorya fischeri NRRL 181 1099437636259 genomic scaffold, whole genome shotgun sequence.